CUCCCGGCCCAGGACAGCACCGGGCCUGGCGGCUGGGCUCGAGCUCCGGGCACCGACUUGGGGCCGGCCGCGGGGAGGCGGGGAUCGGGCGACCGAGGCCGGGACCUCGGCACCCUUCCGCGGGAGUCGCCCGGAGAAAGUGCCCUCUUGGCCGCCGCCGGAGCCGCGCCGCGGGGGCCGCGAUGUUGUCCGCGCCGCGGGAGCCGCCGGAUCCGGAGCUGCAGCGGCGCGGGGAGCAGAAGCGGCGGCCGCACGACGCGCAGCAGCUGCAGCAGCUCCAGCACCUGGAGUCCUCGCAAGUUCAGCUGAGCCUGCUGCCCCCGCGUUCCACCCCUGCGUUCCCUGGGCCACUGCGUGGUGGAGAAACCCCGUUCUACUCAUCCUCUGCCAUGGAGAGGGGAGAGGACACCGGUCCUGUGGCGAGGCGGGGAAGGAGAGAAUGGGCGGCGGGGACUGGCCACUGCGCUGCCAGGCCUAUCCGUGCAGUGCUGUGCACCCUCUGUGGCGCCCCCCACACGGUGUUGGAACAGAUUGCACCCCUUCCCCCUGAGAGCCUGUUCAGUGUUGAGAAUUUAGGACAACCUCCUCCUGGGCUUAUCAAGGAAGAUGAGGCUAAGUCCAAAGACUGCAUACCAGAUGUACCAGGCAGUGAACACACCAGGGAAUUUCUGGCUCACGCACCAACUAAAGGACUUUAUAUGCCAAUGGGGAAAGAAGUCAGAGUUAUGCAGUGUGAGUGAUGGCAUUGCAAAUGGUAUGGUCACCGAACGAUGACAAUAAGGCAACCAAAAGUUAGAACAGUGCAGAGUAGCACAUGAAGAUCCCAUGUAUGACAUCAUAUGAGGCAAUAAAAGACUUAAAAAGGAUGUUAGGAUUCAGCAGUUAAAACAGUUACUGGAGGAUUCUACCUCGGAUGAAGAUGGGAGCAGCUCUAGUUCCUCUGAAGGUAAAGAGAAACACAAGAAAAAGAAGAGGAAAGAAAAGCAUAAGAAAAGGAAGAAGGAAAAGAGAAAGAAGAAAAAACGGAAGCACAAAUCUUCCAAGUCAAAUGAGAGUUCUGACUCAGAGUGACAAGAACAUGACUUGUUCAACAUUCUCUUCUCAAACACUGGCCAAGGAACAGAGGAAGAUGCAAUCAGAGAAAGGACCAGGAUAGAGACGCUGAGAGAAGAGGAUAUGUGAGUCACAGCAGUGCGUUCUCAUCUGCCUUCCAGUGAAGAUGUGACCCCAGGAGAGGGAGUGUCUCCUUCCAGGUGCUAGCUCUAGACAGUGGCUUAUUUUAGGCAGGAAAGUUUGUACGGUGUUGUCCUCCCUGCUGGUCACAUGCAUUUACGAUUCCUUUGAAAUGUCUUCCACAGGGUGGCAGGACUGAGGGAAUCUCUGAGGCAUGUCUUCCAGGCCCUGCCACAGUUUGUGCCCUCCACAAUGUGGACUCAGUUCCCGUGGAUGUCAGGCUGAAGUCUUCUCUGUUGUUGAGAAUAAUAAUAACUCAGCCG